ACCGGCGCACGGGUGCGUAACGCGUAUGCAAUCUACCUUAUACAGAGGGAUAGCCCAGAGAAAUUUGGAUUAAUACCUCAUAGUAUUACUGAGUGGCAUCAUUUAGUAAUUAAAGUUCCAACGGUAUAAGAUGAGCAUGCGUCCCAUUAGUUAGUUGGUAAGGUAACGGCUUACCAAGACGAUGAUGGGUAGGGGUCCUGAGAGGGAGAUCCCCCACACUGGUACUGAGACACGGACCAGACUCCUACGGGAGGCAGCAGUGAGGAAUAUUGGUCAAUGGGCGCAAGCCUGAACCAGCCAUGCCGCGUGCAGGAAGACGGUCCUAUGGAUUGUAAACUGCUUUUAUACAGGAAGAAACCUCCCUACGAGUAGGGACUUGACGGUACUGUAGGAAUAAGGAUCGGCUAACUCCGUGCCAGCAGCCGCGGUAAUACGGAGGAUCCAAGCGUUAUCCGGAAUCAUUGGGUUUAAAGGGUCCGUAGGCGGCUUUAUAAGUCAGUGGUGAAAUCUCCUAGCUCAACUAGGAAACUGCCAUUGAUACUG
rnacentral:rRNA from 1 species